AUGGUCUAUCCCAGCCCCACCGACCCCCCCUCCCGCUGUGAAUGGUCUGUCCCUGCCCCCCCCCCGCGGCCUGCAAUGGUCGGUUCCGGCGCAGCCUCGCUCUGGAGUUUCCCUUCCGGGGUCAGAGGUGACGGCGGGGCCGGAAGCGGCGCCCGGCGGGACCCGGACCCGGCACCGGGAGGUACCGGGGGGGACACCCGGGGGGUGGCGGCUCCUUGGGGGGGUUCAGCUCCAUUCCCAGCCCCUCGGGACGGGCGGGGCCGGGCUCAGCCUCGCUGGGGCCGCUCCCGGGCCGGGCAGCGCAGCCCCGGUGGGAGCGGGACGGGAGCGGAGCUGUCACUGCGGGCCCUGCGCUGCUCCCGGCUCCGGGAGGCCUCGGGCAGCCCCGGGGAUCCGUUCAGCAGUCCCGUUAUACACCCUGGACGGAUCCCGGCAGCGAGACCUCGGCACGGGGAGAGCCCCAAGGAGCGAGAUUUGCUCCGCUCCUUUCACCGGGGAGCUGCGGAGAACCGGGGGGGGCUCCUUGGAGGGCAGAGGGGCUCGGAGGGGACCGAGAGGCUCCCGGGGGUACCGGCACUGCCCUUCCCUCAAUCUCCGAGCUCUGGGGUCGAGGGGCUGCGGGCUGGGUCUGUGCUGGGCUCCCGGGCUCUUCUUCUUUCCCAGCACCUGCUCUGGGGUGUUGGAAAAGCCCCCGGGUUUCAUCCCUUGCUCGAGGAAGGGAUCCAUCCUUGGAUCGCUUUGGGUGGGCGGAGGGGGCAGCGUGGGUUCCAAAUCCUGACCCAAAUCCUGACCCAAAUCCAGCCCCAAAUCCAGUCCCAAAUCCAGCUCCAAAUCCAGCCCCAAAUCCCACUGGGAAUGAUUUUUCCCACCCCCAGAGCGGCCCCGGGGGGUGACAGCACUGAACCCCCAAAUGUUGUGCUGGGCUGGGCUGGGACACAGCGAGGAGAGCCCCGAGUUCCAUCCCAGAUCUUCUGGAAUCGAGGGGAAAUGCGGGAUUCUGCAGGAUCCCGCUGCUGGUUUUGGGACAAAAUCACUUUUCCCGAGGCUCUCUGA
rnacentral:lncRNA from 1 species